rnacentral:rRNA from 1 species
CCUACGGGUGGCAGCAGUGAGGAAUAUUGGUCAAUGGGCGCGAGCCUGAACCAGCCAAGUAGCGUGAAGGAUGACUGCCCUACGGGUUGUAAACUUCUUUUAUAAAGGAAUAAAGUGAGGCACGUGUGCCAUUUUGUAUGUACGGUAUGAAUAAGGAUCGGCUAACUCCGUGCCAGCAGCCGCGGUAAUACGGAGGAUCCGAGCGUUAUCCGGAUUUAGUGGGGUUAAAGGGAGCGUAGAUGGGUUGUUAAGUCAGUUGUGAAAGUUUGCGGCUCAACCGUAAAAUUGCCCUUGAUACUGGCAGCCUUGAGUACAGUUGAGGUCGGCGGUCUUCGUGGCGUAGCGG